AUUGAACGCUGGCGGCAGGCCUAACACAUGCAAGUCGAGCGAGCGGCGGACGGGUGAGUAAUGCCUGGGAAUUGCCCAGUCGAGGGGGAUAACAGUUGGAAACGACUGCUAAUACCGCAUACGAUUGGAUUGCCCAGGUGGGAUUAGCUAGUUGGUGAGGUAAUGGCUCACCAAGGCCACGAUCCCUAGCUGGUCUGAGAGGAUGAUGAGCCACACUGGAACGUGGACACUGUCCAGAGUCCUACGGGAGGCAGCAGUGGGGAAUAUUGCACAGUGGGGGAAACCCUGAGGCAGCUAGGCCGCGUGUGUGAAGAAGGCCUUCGGGUUGUAAAGCACUUUCAGCGAGGAGGCGUUACUCGCAGAAGAAGCACCGGCUAACUCCGUGCCAACCGCCGCGGUAAUUC
rnacentral:rRNA from 1 species